CCUACGGGUGGCAGCAGUGGGGAAUAUUGGGCAAUGGGCGCAAGCCUGACCCAGCAACGCCGCGUGAAGGAAGAAGGCUCUCGGGUUGUAAACUUCUUUUAUCAGGGACGAAGCAAGUGACGGUACCUGAUGAAUAAGCCACCGCUAACUACGUGCCAGCAGCCGCGGUAAUACGUAGGUGGCAAGCUUUAUCCGGAUUUACGGGGUGUAAAGGGCGUGGAGGCGGUAAAGCAAGUCAGAUGUGAAAACCAUGGGCUCAACCUGUGGCCUGCAUUUGAAACUGUUUUUAUUGAGUACUGGAGAGGCAGGCGGAAUUCCUAGUGUAGCGGUGAAAUGCGUAGAUAUUAGGAGGAACACCAGUGGCGAAGGCGGUCUGCUGGACAGCAACUGACGCUGAGGCGCGAAAGCGUGGGGAGCAAACAGGAUUAGAUACCCUUGUAGUC
rnacentral:rRNA from 1 species